CAGGUCCAGCAGUGUGGUGUCAGGUGAGAUCUCCUUGGGCACUGUCUUCAGACCUGGAGCCAGCACCAUCAACAAUACACUGCCCCCCAUGUACCUGUUGGAACACACCCCAGAAGAAAAGACCAGAGCCCCGACCUCUCCUACAACCCCACUUGCCAUGACUCCUUGGCAAAGGCCCAGGUUUAGUCUCAGCCUCAUUCUCCCUAUCUGUUAAAUGGGAAUAAAUAUGUCAGCCCUGA